GAGGAAAAGGAGACACUUCUGCGCAUGCGCACCAAUAAACUACCAGAGGGAGAUGAAAGGCCUCCAUUUUUCUAAUUUAUAUUUUUCUCAAUCUUGUCACUUCUGUCCCAAGAAUAUGUUUCCAUUUUAGCCACAUGAAGGUUGCUUAGCACAGGCCAACCAUCCACCUAGAAUGGUCUCUUGAGCAGAAAGUUGUCCACAUGGAAAAGCAGCAUAACAGAAUGGCUGGAGCACUAGACUACACUUUUGGGUUCGAAUCCCCACUGAGCCAUUGGACUUCAAAGUGAAGAACAGACCUAUCCCGCCAGCCUUUCUGGGAGAGGAGAACACACAUCAGGCCUGUUGCUCAAGUGACUUUCAUGAGCAUAGUGUCCUUUUGCCUUCAUUCCUUAGUUUAUUCUCAUCUGCAAAGAAAAGGGACCACCCUUUUUUGGGUCGAUAGGUAUUAUGUUGAAAGAAAGAUUAGAUCAAAAUGGGAACAAUUGAGCUCUCUGUCUCAGAGUGUGGUGGAGGCUGCUUCCCUGGUGACUUUUAAACACAGGCCGGAUGACCAUCUGUUGGGGGUGCUUUGUUCUUUUUCUGCAAGGCAGGGGGUUAGACUAGAUGGCCCAUGGGAUCUCUUCCAACUCUACGAUUCUAUGAUAUUGGGAUGGGAUGCAGCAGAUUAAAUUACAAGAACUGAACUUGAGACAAAAUGUUUAUAUUGCUUGUACUGAUAUCACUCAUGGUUAUGUAUUAUACUUAGCUAUAUUUCCCCCAAUUUUCAAGCAAAGAGUAGAAGGCCACAAGCCAAGCAAAGCUGGAACAGGAAAAUUUCAAAUUGCUCUUUGCUGGGCUCAUGUAAGUCAUGAAUGUGGGUUUAAAGAUUAUAAAGACUGCAGAAAUAUUAUUAUCAUCUCAGGAGGAGACUCAAAACAACCACAGUAGAGUCUCACUUAUCCAAGCUAAAUGGGCCGGCAGAACCUUGGAUAAGUGAAUAUCUUGGUUAAUAAGGAGGGAUUAAGGAACAGCCUAUUAAACAUCAAAUUAGGUUAUGAUUUUACAAAUGAAGCACCAAAACAUGUUAUACAACAAAUUUGGCAGAAAAAGUAGUUCAAUAUAGAGUAAUGCUCCGUAGUAAUUACUGUAUUUACAAAUUUAGCACCGUAAUAUCACGGUUUUGAAAACAUUGAGUACAAAAAUGCGUUGGAUAAUCCAGAACGUUGGAUAAGCGAGUGUUGGAUAAGUGAGACUCUACUGUAUAUAUAUACAGUGGUUGGAAGAGUUCCCAAAGGCUAUGUAUGCAGUUCAGCUCUAGCCCUUGAGAUGGAAGGAGAGGCAGGUCAUGUAUUAAGCACCAAAACAUCAUGUUAUACAACAAAUUUGACAGAAAAAGUAGUUCAAUACACAGUAAUAUUAUGUUGUAAUUACUGUUUUUAUGAAUUUAGCACCAAAAUAUCAUGAUAUAUUGAAAACAAUGACUACAAAAAUGCCUUGGAUAAUCAAGAACCUUGGAUAAGCGAGUCUUGGAUACGUGAGACUCUACUGUACUUUCUUACUUUGCAGCCUAAGGGGCAUCUACACUGUUGAAAUUAUUAUUACUAGAUUAUUGUUAUUAUUAUUAUUAUUAUUUUAUUAUUAUUAAUUAUAUCCUUCUUUUUCUCUCUUAAAAGAGAUUCAGGGCAAUACACACCAAAUACACAAGGCAUUUUGACUCUACUUGUGACUGCCAUGCCUCAAUGCUAUGGAAGCUUGGGAUAUGUAGUUUGGUGAGGCCCCACACUCUAGGACAAUGACAGCUAAAUGUCUUGCAAAACCACAACUCCCAUGAUCCCAUAGCAUUGAGCAAGGUAGGUAUAGUGGUGCCAAAGUGUAUCAAUUCUACAAUGUAGACACAGCCCCAGAAUACCGGUAUUUUAGAUACUCCUUUCUAAUCAGAGUUGGUUACAACAUCAUAAACCUACUUUAUGGAGCCUAUUCAUCAUCAUCCUCACUAAAAGACUGACAUCAUGUGUCUUCAUACCAUAGAAGUACAAGGGUUACCAAUAUUACAAUCUUUUUGGCUCUAGACCAAAGUAUUAUUGUUUUCUCAGAUGUUUAAAGUUUGGCCCAGUUGCUGAAUCCCUCUUGAUUUCUCUGUCGCAUUACGGCAGUAUUGUUUUAUUAUACUGUUUUAUUUUGAUGUAUAGUUGAGCUGUAUAUCUGGCGCAUGUUGCCCUGCUCUCCACCAGGACAAAGGGCGCUCCCAAUAGAUUGCCUUUCAAGGGCUACAAUAAAGGAAAGGCGACUUAGGAAACUAUUGCGAAUCUUUCCGGAGCGGCCAGGUCUCCUUCAUUCCAAGGCGCCUCUGCCGCCCGAGAGUCCAAUGUCUUCACUUCCAUUGCAUCACACUAUAAACAAAACUGGUUUUAAGUAGUCACCCAUCGACACACAAACAGGCCAGCAACUGAUUGACUUGCAAAACUCUGACCAAAUGGCUUCUAACCCGUUGAGCUGCUUGGGUGCAUCUACAUUGUGGAACUGAUACACUUUGACACUUUAACUGCCCUGUCUUUGGUCAAAAAAGAAAAUCCAGACUGGAUCUAUAUUGCCAUAUAAUCCAGUUCAAAGCAAGUAAUCUGGAUAUAGCCGUGUAAAUGGGGCCUCAGUGAUAGCCCGUCCUAUUAAACAUAUUGGGAAAGGGGAAAACACAUCAUUUAAGUAGUUGGCCAUCAAGACUGAAAGAGUUUUGUAUACACAAAACAUAUAAACAGGAAGGUGUUUAAGAUCUAGUGAGGGAGUACUGUGGUUUUUAACUGAAAAUAUAUUUUGAUGGAUUUUAACUGAAAAUUUUUUGAGCUGUUUGUGUUUAAUUCUGUAAUAUUUGUAUAUUUUAAUGCUUUUUAUGUCAAGCCAAUUUGAGUCCCCUCUGGAGAGAUAAAGCAUGGUAUAAAUAAAUAAAUAUAAUAUUACUAAUAAUGUUAUUUUGUGGCUUAUUUUACUAUAGUAAUGUUUGGGAUUUUUUAAUGUUGUUCAAAGUGCUUUUACAUAAUCAUUGUUUCUUGAUGGUUGGUAUUUUGCAUUAAUUUUUUUUGUUUUAUCUUAAUUUGAUAUGUUAUGUAUUUUGUUUAUAUUAUCUAAUAUGUUUUCUUUCAUGAUUAUAAGCCGCUCUGGCUCCCUUUUUGGGAGAUGGGGUGAGGUAUAAAUAAAGUUUUAUUAUUAUAUAA